rnacentral:rRNA from 1 species
UUUUUAUGGAGAGUUUGAUCCUGGCUCAGGACGAACGCUGGCGGCAUGCCUCACACAUGCAAGUCGAACGGGGUUAGGUUGAGAGCUUGCUUUUGACCUAACCUAGUGGCGGACGGGUGAGUAACGCGUGGGCAACCUACCCUACAGUCUGGGAUACCAUCGGGAAACUGAU